rnacentral:misc_RNA from 1 species
UACGGAGGGUGCAAGCGUUAAUCGGAAUUACUGGGCGUAACGCGCGCGUAGGUGGCUUGAUAAGCCGGUUGUGACAGCCCCGGGCUCAACCUGGGAACGGCAUCCGGAACUGUCAAGCUAGAGUGCAGGAGAGGACGGUAGAAUUCCCGGUGUGGCGGUGAAAUGCGUAGAGAUCGGGAGGAAUACCAGUGGCGGAGGCGGCCGUCUGGACUGACACUGACACUGAGGUGCGAAAGCGUGGUUAGCAAACAGG